GACGAACGCUGGCGGCGUGCCUAACACAUGCAAGUCGAGCGAUGAAAUUAGAAACGGAGUCUUCGGACGAAGAGGAAAAUGGAUGAGCGGCGGACGGGUGAGUAACACGUGAGCAACCUGCCUAUCACAUCGGGAUAGCCUCGGGAAACUGGGAUCAAUACCGACUGAAACAUAAUCACUGCCUAGUGGAAAUGUCAAAGAUUUAUCGGUGAUAGAUGGGCGGGCGUCUGAUUAGCUGGUUGGUGAGGUAAUGGCUCACCAAGGCGACGGUAAGUAGCCGGCCUGAGAGGGUGAACGGCCACAUUGGGACUGAGACACGGCCCAAACUCCUACGGGAGGCAGCAGUGGGGAAUAUUGCACAAUGGAGGGAACUCUGAUGCAGCGACGCCGCGUGAGCGAUAAAGGCUUUCGAGUCGUAAAGCUCUGUCGAAUGGGAAGAUAAUGACGGUACCAUUUGAGAAAGCCCCGGCUAACUACGUGCCAGCAGCCGCCGUAAAAC
rnacentral:rRNA from 1 species